rnacentral:rRNA from 1 species
UACGUAGGGUGCAAGCGUUGUCCGGAAUUAUUGGGCGUAAAGAGCUCGUAGGCGGUCUGUUGCGUCGGCUGUGAAAACCCGAGGCUCAACCUCGGGCCUGCAGCCGAUACGGGCAGACUAGAGUUCGGCAGGGGAGACUGGAAUUCCUGGUGUAGCGGUGGAAUGCGCAGAUAUCAGGAGGAACACCGGUGGCGAAGGCGGGUCUCUGGGCCGAUACUGACGCUGAGGAGCGAAAGCGUGGGGAGCGAACAGG